AUUGGCCUACGGGACGCAGCAGUGGGGAAUAUUGCACAAUGGGGGAAACCCUGAUGCAGCAGCGCCGCGUGAGUGAGGAAGUAUUUCGGUAUGUAAAGCUCUAUCAGCAGGGAAUAGAAAAGAAGGUACCUGAAAAAGAAGCCCCGGCUAACUACGUGCCAGCAGCCGCGGUAAUACGUAGGGGGCAAGCGUUAUCCGGAUUCACUGGGUGUAAAGGGAGCGUAGACGGCGAGACAAGUCUGGAGUGAAAGGCCGGGGCCCAACCCCGGGACUGCUCUGGAAACUGCCUGGCUGGAGUACAGGAG
rnacentral:rRNA from 1 species